ensembl:lncRNA
GACAUUCCAACCAGGAACAAAGUAAAAGAUAAUCAAUACGAAAAAAACCCUCUUCCUGUUCACCUCUUAAAACCCAAAAACACACCGCAGUAGCACCCUGAACUAAAACUACCAAUGGGUUCCCUGUUUUCCUUUGUGAACAAUUCAAAGGUCCCUCACUAUCUCCCCACACAUCCACCAACCACUGGAACACAUCUCCAAAGUUCUGCUGGGCCAGCUCAGCUUCCCCUCAGAAGAAGUGCUGCCACCUGCCAGAUGAAGGAGCCUUUUGAGAGGCAGCUGGCAUCGUGAUUGGACUGUACUUUGGUCUGUUCCAAUCCAGCUUCAGCUCCAGAGACGGCAGGCGGGACGAGUCAACGGAGGCCUGGUGGACGAAGGCAUGCAGCUGAGUACAAUCCAGAAAACAACAGAGGAGGAGUGCAGUGGCCCAGGACCAGAACAACCAGAACCAAAGAACUACAGACUCUUCACAACCUGCUCAAACUCUUGGUACAGGACCUCACCACACGGGUCAAGAAGGUUUCCUUCUCCUCAUUUCUACUCUGAAGCUCACCUUCUCCUGCUCAAACUGCUGACAAAUGUUACUGCUGCUCUCAAGUCUGGACUCCAGAACUUCCUAAAAACUCUCAAAGUCUCUUCUGCUGCAGGUUGCUUUGUAGAACUGUUACAGAAAACCUCACUAAACCACAUGGAGGGGCCUCAAGAUAGUCGUCCAAAUGAAACCAUACAAAAACCAAACUAGCACAACCCAAACGCUAAAGUCUCC